AGUGAACGCUGGCGGUAGGCCUAACACAUGCAAGUCGAACGGCAGCACAGUAAGAGCUUGCUCUUACGGGUGGCGAGUGGCGGACGGGUGAGGAAUACAUCGGAAUCUACUUUUUCGUGGGGGAUAACGUAGGGAAACUUACGCUAACACCGCAUACGACCUACGGGUGAAAGCAGGGGAUCUUCGGACCUUGCGCGAUUGAAUGAGCCGAUGUCGGAUUAGCUAGUUGGCGGGGUAAAGGCCCACCAAGGCGACGAUCCGUAGCUGGUCUGAGAGGAUGAUCAGCCACACUGGAACUGAGACACGGUCCAGACUCCUACGGGAGGCAGCAGUGGGGAAUAUUGGACAGUGGGCGCAAGCCUGAUCCAGCCAUACCGCGUGGGUGAAGAAGGCCUUCGGGUUGUAAAGCCCUUUUGUUGGGAAAGAAAAGCAGCAGGUUAAUACCCCGCUGUUCUGACGGUACCCAAAGAAUAAGCACCGGCUAACUUCGUG
rnacentral:rRNA from 1 species